GAUUAAGAACGCAGCGAAAUGCGAUAAGUAAUGUGAAUUGCAGAAUUCAGUGAAUCAUCGAAUCUUUGAACGCACAUUGCGCCCUCUGGUAUUCCGGGGGGCAUGCCUGUUCGAGCGUCAUUAUAACCACUCAAGCUUUCGCUUGGUAUUGGGGCUCGCGGUUCCGCGGCCCCUAAAAUCAGUGGCGGUGCCUGUCGGCUCUACGCGUAGUAAUACUCCUCGCGAUUGAGUCCGGUAGGUCUACUUGCCAGCAACCCCCAAUUUUUACUGGUUGACCUCGGAUCAGGUAGGGAUACCCGCUGAACUUAAGCAUAUCAAUAAGCGGAGGA
rnacentral:misc_RNA from 1 species